GAGGGCAUUUCAGGACAAUCCUACGAGCCCGCCGCGUGGGUAAGAAGGCCUUCGGGUUGUAAGCCCUGUCAGGUGGGAAGAACCGCAGUCUGGCCAAUUCCUGGACUGCUUGACUGAACCACCAAAUGAAGCACCGGCAUAAUUCCUGGCCACCAGCCGGGGUUAAUAAAAA
rnacentral:rRNA from 1 species